GGAGGCGUACUCAAGUGGUUUAAGAGAACGGUCUUGAAAACCGUCAGGCGGCGAAAGCCGUGCGUGGGUUCGAAUCCCACCGCCUCCU
rfam:Exiguobacterium sibiricum 255-15, complete genome.